UCGUGGUCAGCAGUCGGUUUUCACCAUGAUCUGAGAGCAAAUCAGAAUGCUUUUCUGAGAUCAUCGUGAAAGCUAGUUGUUGGUUCACA
rnacentral:pre_miRNA from 1 species